AUACGUAGGGAGCGAGCGUUGUCCGGAAUUACUGGGCGUAAAGGGCGCGUAGGCGGCGCUUCAAGUCGUCUGUCAAAUGGGAGGGCUUAACCCUUUUUCGCAGACGAAACUGGAGAGCUUGAGAAGCAGAGAGGCAAACAGAAUUCCUGGUGUAGCGGUGAAAUGCGUAGAUAUCAGGAAGAAUACCAGUGGCGAAGGCGGUUUGCUGGCUGCAUACUGACGCGGUAGCGCGAAAGCCAGGGGAGCAAACGGGAUUAGAUACCCCGGUAGUCCUGGCAGUAAACGAUGUAUGCUGGGUGUGAGACUAGCGAUAGUUUCGUGCCGAAGUUAACGCGAUAAGCAUACCGCCUGGGGAGUACGGUCGCAAGAUUGAAACUCAAAUGAAUUGACGGGG
rnacentral:rRNA from 1 species